GCUCACGCCGGUUUAAACUCAGAUCAUGUAAAAUUUUAAAGGUCGAACAGACCUACCUAUUUAGCAUCUACACCAAACAUUAACUUUAAUCCAACAUCGAGGUCGCAAUCCCCCCCUUCGAUAAGAACUCUAAAAAAGAUUACGCUGUUAUCCCUAAGGUAAUUUAUUCUUUUCUUCCAAAGUAAGGCUCCCCUACACACAAAUAAAUGAUUUAAAACUAAAAAAAGUUAAAUAAAUUUUUCCGUCUCCCCAACUAAAUAGUAUUAUUAAUUUAUAAAUUUUAAAUAUACAAAUAAAUACAUUAAUAAAACUAUAAAACUCUAUAGGGUCUUCUCGUCUUCUAUCAAAAUUUAAGCUUUCUCACUUAAAAAUAAAAUUCUAUUAAAUUUUUACAGAGACAGUCUUUUUCUCAUCAAACCUUUCAUUCCAGCUUUCAAUUAAAAAACUAAUGACUAUGCUACCUUUGUACGGUCAAUUUACCGCAGCCAUUAAAAUCCUCAUUGGGCAGGUCAGACUUAAAAUUAUUAUCAAUAAGCCAUGUUUUUAA
rnacentral:rRNA from 1 species